UUUAAUGUUGUUUAUGACUUUUCGCCCAAAGUAUGUGUGACUUCUUCAAUAAUAGUUAUGAAUAAAAUAUGAACUACAAAACAAGCGGAAAAUGUUGUCCCUAUCAUGCGUUUAUCGUAUCGGGUAUAAGUUUGUUUGCUUAUUUCCCUCUCAUGCAUACGUAAUAAUUGUUUCGUGUAAAUUAGACUGAGUUGUAUUAGUAGACUGUAAGCGCACAUUUUUUAAUCUCUCAUAUGUAUAUCUUUCUUUGAUGGCAGCAUGCGUCUUGCAGUGAUACGUGCUAGAUACGACGUUGUAAAGACAAUUAGCUUCGACUGAUCAUGAAUAAGAAACAAUGUGGAAACAAAUGCAUUAUGAUCAUAAGACAAUAAGACAAAGAGAAACAAUAGCGGAUGAAAACAAAAGAAACGUUUUCUACUAUUCUUUAUAUGUUUAGGUGAGCAGUCACCACGUGCGUCCACUACGUAAAACGAUACAUUAUCCUUCGUGUCUAGCAUUUCAAGAUUAGAAAAUAUUUACAUUACUUUCAUGCCUCAGACUACAAAUUCAGAUGUUCAAAAACAAUUGAUUACCGCUUUGUUUCCGGCACUUGUGGCGCCUCCUCGCAGUUAAUAUUUAUUCAUUAUUUUUGUGUUAUACAAACCACAUGUUAGUACAUGUUUUUUAAUCCUUUUUCGAAUUACGAAUACGAUGGGUGAUAAAAAGAAGAAGUCUAGGAACCGGGAUCGCUCUGGGGAGAGGAGUAUUUUCAAGAGAUUAUGUAUAUUCGAGGAAAUGAUGGGAGAAAUGCUGACUAGCAUUACAUCCAUUCAGCAGACCAUGCUGACGAAGGAGUUGCCGGGUUUUUCUCUUGGUCCAAGAGACCGAUUUAUAUCAUUGAAUUAAUAUACCCGAGAGUUUAAUUCUUUGAUAACGCUUUAUUCAGGUGGAUAAAAAUGGAAUCUGUUGUAUCCGGGAGGUAAAAUAGAUUCUCACAUGGUAAUCUGACUUUAUCUGGAAGAUAAAGAGAUGAUGUUUGCUUUAAUUAUCCGAAAGGUAAUUGUAAGCAAACAAACAAACAAACCAUGAAAAAUAAAAAAUACUAUUUAAAUAAACAGUCACAAUUUACGUUGUGUCGUGGGCUAGCCUUGAAAUUAUCAUUUGAAGAAGGGGACCCUGUAGACCUGGUCUCAGAAGAAUCUUUGGAGGAUACACUAAGUUUGAGAGCCACAAGGGUCCCAGGAACAACUGGUGUACUGAAAGAUGUGACUAACAGCCAACAUAAGAUCUUGUUUGGGGUUAUUGACACGGAAGCCACAAUCGAUAGUUCUGAGGCUCAGAUUAAUGAAGAAAUACGCUGGUGCUAGUCUAAACAGCGAGGACAAGGAUUCUCUGUUAAAGAAAUACUCUAACUUAAAAUGAUUACACACCAAUUAUCCUAUAAAACUUUUAUAUUUUAACAUUUUACGUAUCUUUACAUCUUUACGAAGAUAAUUUUUUAAACAUUAGUCUUUGUAAUUUUGCUUUGUAUGAUAUAUCAUAUAACUAUUGCCGAGAUGGGUGCCCGGCUUUUCGGGACAAGUAUCACAAUAGUAUGUUGUUUGAUGUCUUUUGUCGGACAGACUUUACAAUCCUUCUUAACUUUUGUUAGAAUGUUAUGCAGCUUUCCAUUUAGGCGGAUCUUUUCGGAAUCGGAGAUUGAAGUUGAAUUUCGAUCACGUGUUUGGUGAAAAUCUCCAGUCAGUUGGUGAACUAAGGUUUUCACAUACCGCAAGUAAUUAAGCGGCUGUUCUCUGAUGUUCAGUGGUUUUAUAAAGAAUAUAUGAAUUUAUUAGACAAAUUUCCAGACCCCAAAAAAACAGUUUAGGCCACCAUUUCAAGGAUUUUCUUAAGAAACAGUACGUUGAGGCAUACUGAUCUGCACGAUCGACACCGCUUACAUGUUUUAUAUAAUUUAUUGCAACAUUAGGCUUUUUAACGGUAAUUUCAAUACCAUACUCGUAAAAUUCUUUUUACAGUGCUCAUUCCUGCAUUAUUCCAAUUGGUUAAGCACAUGACAACCCUCUUGGCCUUCCAUGCUAAAACUAAGGUAUUUCUUUAUGCUACUGUCGAUUUCUUGCGGAAUUUUGUUUUUUUUAUUUGAUUUGGCAAAUGCUUCCCAUUCGUUAAGAUUGUUCCUGUCAAGUGGCAUUUCAGUUUGAAUAAUUUUUCAACCAAGAUAAAGCUGAUGUAAUGCCGAUCGGUGAACAAGCGAGAGUCACCUCUCGAGUUGCGGCAUUAAAUCAUGUGGUGAGUGAGAGUCACCUCUCGAGUGCAAAGAGAUCGUCUGUAUGAAUUUGUUUGUUUUCCGUUUAGUCUAUGUACUAAUCCCAUGGUGUUUACCAAGCUUCUGAAAUCAGUCGUAAACUAUCUGCGGUCACGGGGCUUUUUAUGAAUGUUAUAUUUGAAUGACUUUUUAUAUCUCGGUAAGUCAAUAGAAGAGUGCGGAGACAAUCUUAGAUAGACAAUUGCUUUGCUUAAUCGUUUAGGUUUUAUCGUAAAUCUUGAAAAGUCAAGGUUAUUACCUGAGAUUAAAUGUACAUAUCUAAGGUUUUUUACUAGAUUCAUCCAUCAUGAGAGUUGAGUUACCAGAAGAAAAGAAGUUCAGAUGAGUAAUUUUGAAAGGAGGCGAAUUUUUAAGAUUCAGAAUUUUGCUAAGUUGGUUGGUUCUUUGAUGGCAUGUUGUCCGGUUGUUGAAUGCAGUCUAUUACAUUGUAAAUUGUUUGAGAAGGCUAAGGGCCUUAAAUAAUAAUUGAGGGGCAUUUGAUGCGACGAUGACGAUGCCAAAUUUGGAUUGUGUCCAAAAAGAUUGGAAUUGGUGGAAGAAGGUCACACCGGUUGCUAGUAUCAGGGAAUACAAAUUCAUCAGGAUGAUAUUUUCGGAUGCUUCACUGUCAGGCCGAGGGAGCUUUCUAUGGUGGUGAAAAUGCCAAUGUACUUUGGGAUCAGGCAAAGAGAGAUCUCCUUAUCAAUUAUCUGGAACUGAAGACAGCGCUAUUGGCUUUGAAAUGUUUCGCGGUAGAGUUGCAUGAUAUAGAAAUUUUACUUAAAGUGGAUAACACCACCACCAUAGUUUAUAUUAAUAGAAUGGGUGGUGUGUGUUUUGCUGGUUUGCAUGAUUUAUCUUGUGACUUAGGGAAAUGGUGUGAAGAGCGGAGAUUAUGGGUGCACGCAUUUGCAUACCCUCGAAGGAGAACUGUGAGGCAGAUUUUUUUUCUAGAAUUGAUAAUGCAGACACUGAGUGGGAGUUAGCUGACUUUGCUUUUGACCAAAUUACCAGGAGAUUUAGUGCAAUGAAAAUUGAUCUGUUUGCAUCGCGUAUAAACUCUAAAUGUCAGUUGUACUGCUCAUGGAAAAGAGAUCCAGAGGCUUUUGAUAUUUUUUACAAUUGACUUGGCAGAGUGGUUUUUCUAUACCUUCCUUCCAUUUUCCUUGGUAGUCAGAGUAAUUAAGAAAAUCAAAGACAAAUAUGCAGAGGGUAUCUUAGUGGUUCCUUUUUGGCCAACGCAAAACUGAUUUUCUGCUUUUCAGAGAUUGUCUGUGGGCAACUGGAUCUGGUUUGAUCCAGAUGUUAACUUAUUUAUAUCUCCUUGCAGGUCUCAGCAACAUCCUUUGGCGUCCAGGCUGAUUAUCAGCCAAGCGCUCUUAAGAAGGGGAACUCCAAGGGAGGCAGUUAAUAUUUCAAUUGCGUCAUUAGACGCAACCAAUUCAAUGAUUAAACAGUAUAACUUAAGUUAUGGUGGCAAUGGUAUAAUCAGACAUCGGAGGAUUCAUUUACAGUGUCAGCCAGUAAAAUUCUCAAGUUCUUAGUCGAAAGAUUUAAUGAUGGGGUUGGCCACAGUGCACUUAAUGCUGCUAGGGCUGCUCUUUCAUUGAUAUCUAGUGAGGACAUUGCUAACAAUGUUCUAGUUAGUAGAUUUAUCAGAGCUAUGUUUAAAAUGCGACCUAGUCUAUCCAAAUACAAGUUGACUUAGAAUGUUGACCCCGUAUUUAGUUUCACUAUUCCCGUUAGAUACAUUGUCCUUGAGAAGGCUGCCUAAGAAGCUAAUAGUUCUUUUAGUGUUAAGUACUGCGCAUAGGACGCAGCUUCUUACCUUAAUAAAAAUAUCUAACAUAGAAAUUUUAGAGUUGAGAAUUAAAAUACGAAUUUCAGACAGGAUUAAGACGAGUCGAGAAGUACCACAGCCGGUUUUAAGAUUUCCCUUUUUCAAGGAGAGACCAGAGCUGUGCAUCGUCAGGAUUGUGAUUGAAGGUGACGAAAAUAUUGAGGGGGACGAUUGAUACCUUGUUCGUCUUUUUUCAAAAGCCACACGGUCCAGUGAAAAGCGAAACGAUAAGUUGCUGGAUAAAAGAAGUGUUAAUAUCUUUUGGAGUCGACAAGAAGUUUACGGUUCACUCUACGAGGGAUACGUCAACCUCCAGGCCGCAUGAGAGAGGCGUGAGCCUUCUUAGGAGAUUAAGAAGGUUGCUGGUUGGUCCCACAGAUCCCAAACAUUUGCAAUAGUUUACCUAUAGAGAUAAAUAACUUUGCGUCAUUUAUCUUCUAGAUAACUAGAUAAUACAUGAUACUCUCUCAACAAUUAAAAUUUAUUUUUUCUGUUUCACUUGUCAUUAAUAUAGUUAAGAAACAUUUAAAAAACAAAAAGAAAGAAAAAAGAGAUUUUUAUUUAAAAUGUUAGAUCUAAAAAGCUACUCUAAAUCUCGAAGUGCGAGAUAUAAAAGAUAAUUGCGAUCGAACUUCAAGCACCUUCGACGGGCUCGUUCAAUUAUCCUUCAAUUAUCCUUCGUGUCUCGCAGGAGAGAUAUUCCCUCCCUACUAUCAUACUAAAGUACCUAGUCUGACAGGUGAAACAUAAAAAAUAAGUCGGCUAUAAACAAGAUAAGUAUUAACUGCGAGGAGCCACUACAGGUGCCGGAAACCACGCGGUAAUCAAUUAUUUUUAAACUCUGAACUUGUGGUCUGAGGCAUGAAAGUAGUGAUACUAUCUUUGUAAUCUCUCGUGUUCGAGAUACUCGAAUAAUUGCGUUCAAACUUUGUUCGCCUUCGGCGAGCUCGUUUGAUCCUUCAAUUUUUUAUUCUUUUGUUAUUAUGAAUUACCGUCAUUACGUGUGUAUGAUGUACACAAUAUAUUGUUUCUUUUUUUUAUUACUGUUUUUAUUACUAUAUUAUUACAUUACAUAUUAUUAUUAUAGUAAUAGUAGUAAUAAUAGUAAUAAGAUGAAAUGAACUUCUACAGAGGAAAUCAUAACAAAACAGCGCUCAGAGAAAAAUCUCAUAGAUAAUAUGGAAACGAACUCGUGUUUUAAUAUUUAUUAAAAAUAAUGUAUAAUAUAUAUUUUCACUAAUUAUUAAUUUUGAAAGAAUAAUCGACAAAUCUAUCGAACAAAAUUAUAUUGCUACUAAAAAUUGAAAUUAUAUAUCUUAUCAAAUAUAGAUCACCGCGAAAUUCACGUCAGCCAUCAGUGGAGAAAAUAAAUAUAAAAGAUUGAAUAGUAAUAUUAACACAUUGCGUACGGGUCAUGAGAUAUUUCGUUUUCAUGUUUUUUUCGACUAAAACGAUGACUUAAGGAACCGGAGAUAAAUGUUUUUGUUACGUUACCAAGGUAAUGAAGCCUUGCGCGUUCUUAUGACAAAUGAUUAACAAAAUAACUGAAUGUUGACAUUCCAAAAAUGCAAAAAUAGUCAGUAUAGCCAGUAUCAUCAUUAGAUUUGUGCCGAUCGUCGUACAUACCGUACCUUAUAAAGUGUUUUAUUGUUGUAUAUUUUGGAAUUUUAAAGUUCGUGUUUUAAUUUGUAAAGAAAUAGCUUUUUAAAAAUCAUUUAUAUUUUCAAUUUGUUAAUGAAAAUUUAUAACAAAUGGAAACGUGAUAUUUUGUUGCAAAUUAGGAAAGAUAAAAAAGAAGUACAAAUGAUUUCGACAAUUCAUAAAUUUGAAAUGGUUGAAUAUACU